rnacentral:rRNA from 1 species
CCUACGGGAGACAGCAGUGAGGAAUAUUGGUCAAUGGGCGCGAGCCUGAACCAGCCAAGUAGCGUGAAGGAUGACUGCCCUACGGGUUGUAAACUUCUUUUAUAAAGGAAUAAAGUGAGGCACGUGUGCCUUUUUGUAUGUACUUUAUGAAUAAGGAUCGGCUAACUCCGUGCCAGCAGCCGCGGUAAUACGGAGGAUCCGAGCGUUAUCCGGAUUUAUUGGGUUUAAAGGGAGCGUAGAUGGGUUGUUAAGUCAGUUGUGAAAGUUUGCGGCUCAACCGUAAAAUUGCAAUUGAUACUGGCAGACUUGAGUACAGAUGAGGUAGGCGGAAUUCGAGGUGUAGCGGUGAAAUGCUUAGAUAUCACGAAGAACUCCGAUUGCGAAGGCAGCUUACUGGACUGCAACUGACACUGAUGCUCGAAAGUGUGGGUAUCAAACAGGAUUAGAUACCCCGGUAGUC